AUGGAGGGGAGGGCGAGGCGGCGCGCCAGCCCGUCCGGGACGCGCACCAAGGCAGUCAGGGUGGAGCCGGAGCCGCCACCAACGACCAAGAGGCAUGGGCCAGGGAUGAGGGCGGCGGUGGUGUACUACCUCUGCCGCAGCCACCACCUAGAGCACCCACACUUCAUGGAGGUGACCCUCGCCUCCCCACAAGGCCUCUACCUGCGAGAUGUGAUUGGCUGGCUGGAUGCCCUGAGAGGGAAGGGCAUGGUGGCCAAGUAUUCCUGGUCCUGCAAGAGGAGCUACAAGACUGGAUUCGUGUGGCACGAUCUGUCUGUGGAUGAUCUGCUGCUGCUCACGCAAGGAACAGAGUACGUUCUCAAGGGCUCCGAGUUCCCAUUCGACGAGUCAAAGCCUCUGCCAAUGCCAGGAGCUACAAGACUGGAUUCGUGUGGCACGAUCUGUCUGUGGAUGAUCUGCUGCUGCUCACGCAAGGAACAUAGUACGUUCUCAAGGGCUCCGAGUUCCCAUUCGACGAGUCAAAGCCUCUGCCAAUGCCAGUCGGAGGAUCCACGGAGAGCGAUGGAGGGGAGGGCGAGGCGGCGCGCCAGCCCGUCCGGGAUGCGCACCAAGGCAGUCAAGGUGGAGCCAGAGCCGCCACCGACGACCAAGAGGCAUGGGCCAGGGAUGAGGGCGGCGGUGGUGUAUCACCUCUGCCGCAGCCACCACCUAGAGCACCCACACUUCAUGGAGGUGACCCUCGCCUCCCCACAAGGCCUCUACCUGCGAGAUGUGAUUGGCCGGCUGGACGCCCUGAGAGGGAAGGGCAUGGUGGCCAAGUAUUCCUGGUCCUGCAAGAGGAGCUACAAGACUGGAUUCGUGUGGCACGAUCUAUCUGUGGAUGAUCUGCUGCUGCUCACGCAAGGAACAGAGUACGUUCUCAAGGGCUCCGAGUUCCCAUUCGACGAGUCAAAGCCUCUGCCAAUGCCAGAUCAUCAGCAGAAUAAUGCAGUAUGUGCAAAGGUUCAGCCCUGCAAGCCGGCUCGACAACAAGAGUCGCCUUGUUCUCCUGGAUCAUCAAACCAAGGGUGGACUUCCAAGUCUCCGUCUCCUACUCCUACAACUUACCCCACAGUUCCAGUCAUGAAAGAGGAAGUACCGCCGCCACCACCAACAACAGCUCGUGCUGCUGUUGUUCCAGCCAUCAAAGAGCACGCGGUGCCACCGCGACUUCCCCAGCUGAUCUCGCCGUCAACACCAUCUGCCUCCACCAUUGGAGAAUGA
rnacentral:rRNA from 1 species